rnacentral:rRNA from 1 species
GGUUAAGCGACUAAGCGUACACGGUGGAUGCCCUGGCAGUCAGAGGCGAUGAAGGGCGUGCUAAUCUGCGAUAAGCGCCGGUAAGGUGAUAUGAACCGUUAUAACCGGCGAUACCCGAAUGGGGAAACCCAGUGUGAUUCGUCACACUAUCAUUAACUGAAUCCAUAGGUUAAUGAGGCGAACCGGGGGAACUGAAACAUCUAAGUACCCCGAGGAAAAGAAAUCAACCGAGAUUCCCCCAGUAGCGGCGAGCGAACGGGGAGGAGCCCAGAGCCUGAAUCAGCAUGUGUGUUAGUGGAAGCGUCUGGAAAGGUGCGCGAUACAGGGUGACAGCCCCGUACACAAAAGCGCAUGUGCUGUGAGCUCGAUGAGUAGGGCGGGACACGUGGUAUCCUGUCUGAAUAUGGGGGGACCAUCCUCCAAGGCUAAAUACUCCUGACUGACCGAUAGUGAACCAGUACCGUGAGGGAAAGGCGAAAAGAACCCCGGCGAGGGGAGUGAAAAAGAACCUGAAACCGUGUACGUACAAGCAGUGGGAGCACAGGUUUACCUGUGUGACUGCGUACCUUUUGUAUAAUGGGUCAGCGACUUAUAUUCUGUAGCAAGGUUAACCGUAUAGGGGAGCCGUAGGGAAACCGAGUCUUAACCGGGCGUUAAGUUGCAGGGUAUAGACCCGAAACCCGGUGAUCUAGCCAUGGGCAGGUUGAAGGUUGGGUAACACUAACUGGAGGACCGAACCGACUAAUGUUGAAAAAUUAGCGGAUGACCUGUGGCUGGGGGUGAAAGGCCAAUCAAACCGGGAGAUAGCUGGUUCUCCCCGAAAGCUAUUUAGGUAGCGCCUCGUGAAUUCAUCUCCGGGGGUAGAGCACUGUUUCGGCUAGGGGGCCAUCCCGGCUUACCAACCCGAUGCAAACUGCGAAUACCGGAGAAUGUUAUCACGGGAGACACACGGCGGGUGCUAACGUCCGUCGUGAAGAGGGAAACAACCCAGACCGCCAGCUAAGGUCCCAAAGUCAUAGUUAAGUGGGAAACGAUGUGGGAAGGCCCAGACAGCCAGGAUGUUGGCUUAGAAGCAGCCAUCAUUUAAAGAAAGCGUAAUAGCUCACUGGUCGAGUCGGCCUGCGCGGAAGAUGUAACGGGGCUAAACCAUGCACCGAAGCUGCGGCAGCGAACGUAUCACCCAAGACAACUUUACGGAGUUGACGAUUGACGGAGCGAAGCGACGUCAAAGCGUUCAUUAAAGUCGAGUUGGCUUAGGGAUACGUUCGUUGGGUAGGGGAGCGUUCUGUAAGCCUGUGAAGGUGUGUCGUGAGGCAUGCUGGAGGUAUCAGAAGUGCGAAUGCUGACAUAAGUAACGAUAAAGCGGGUGAAAAGCCCGCUCGCCGGAAGACCAAGGGUUCCUGUCCAACGUUAAUCGGGGCAGGGUGAGUCGACCCCUAAGGCGAGGCCGAAAGGCGUAGUCGAUGGGAAACGGGUUAAUAUUCCCGUACUUGGUGUUACUGCGAAGGGGGGACGGAGAAGGCUAUGUUGGCCGGGCGACGGUUGUCCCGGUUUAAGCGUGUAGGUGUGUGUUCCAGGUAAAUCCGGUUCACUUUAACACUGAGGCGUGACGACGAGGCACUACGGUGCUGAAGCAACAAAUGCCCUGCUUCCAGGAAAAGCCUCUAAGCAUCAGGUAACACGAAAUCGUACCCCAAACCGACACAGGUGGUCAGGUAGAGAAUACCAAGGCGCUUGAGAGAACUCGGGUGAAGGAACUAGGCAAAAUGGUGCCGUAACUUCGGGAGAAGGCACGCUGACACGUAGGUGAAGUGAUUUACUCAUGGAGCUGAAGUCAGUCGAAGAUACCAGCUGGCUGCAACUGUUUAUUAAAAACACAGCACUGUGCAAACACGAAAGUGGACGUAUACGGUGUGACGCCUGCCCGGUGCCGGAAGGUUAAUUGAUGGGGUCAGCGCAAGCGAAGCUCCUGAUCGAAGCCCCGGUAAACGGCGGCCGUAACUAUAACGGUCCUAAGGUAGCGAAAUUCCUUGUCGGGUAAGUUCCGACCUGCACGAAUGGCGUAAUGAUGGCCAGGCUGUCUCCACCCGAGACUCAGUGAAAUUGAACUCGCUGUGAAGAUGCAGUGUACCCGCGGCAAGACGGAAAGACCCCGUGAACCUUUACUAUAGCUUGACACUGAACAUUGAGCCUUGAUGUGUAGGAUAGGUGGGAGGCUUUGAAGUGUGGACGCCAGUCUGCAUGGAGCCGACCUUGAAAUACCACCCUUUAAUGUUUGAUGUUCUAACGUGGACCCGUAAUCCGGGUUGCGGACAGUGUCUGGUGGGUAGUUUGACUGGGGCGGUCUCCUCCUAAAGAGUAACGGAGGAGCACGAAGGUUGGCUAAUCCUGGUCGGACAUCAGGAGGUUAGUGCAAUGGCAUAAGCCAGCUUGACUGCGAGCGUGACGGCGCGAGCAGGUGCGAAAGCAGGUCAUAGUGAUCCGGUGGUUCUGAAUGGAAGGGCCAUCGCUCAACGGAUAAAAGGUACUCCGGGGAUAACAGGCUGAUACCGCCCAAGAGUUCAUAUCGACGGCGGUGUUUGGCACCUCGAUGUCGGCUCAUCACAUCCUGGGGCUGAAGUAGGUCCCAAGGGUAUGGCUGUUCGCCAUUUAAAGUGGUACGCGAGCUGGGUUUAGAACGUCGUGAGACAGUUCGGUCCCUAUCUGCCGUGGGCGCUGGAGAACUGAGGGGGGCUGCUCCUAGUACGAGAGGACCGGAGUGGACGCAUCACUGGUGUUCGGGUUGUCAUGCCAAUGGCACUGCCCGGUAGCUAAAUGCGGAAGAGAUAAGUGCUGAAAGCAUCUAAGCACGAAACUUGCCCCGAGAUGAGUUCUCCCUGAGACUUAGAGUCUCCUGAAGGAACGUUGAAGACGACGACGUUGAUAGGCCGGGUGUGUAAGCGCAGCGAUGCGUUGAGCUAACCGGUACUAAUGAACCGUGAGGCUUAACCUU